AUGGCUUGGACGGCCGCGGCCUCCCUGUGCUGCCGUCUCGUCCGCGCGGCCCCCGUCCGUCGCUGCGCUCGGCGCCGGACCUUGUGCUCCGCCGCGCGGAGCACCGACGCGGUGGACAGGGAGUACGCGGACCUCAAUCUCCGCCCCCUCUACCCCAAUGUCCGCCCCAACCCCACCUAUCCUAUCCUCCCAGUCUUCAACCUCCGUCUCCUUUUCGAAAUAGCGUACCAGCCUGACCACCCACCCACCAAUUGGUUUUGGUGUAUGCAGCGGGGCCAUCACCUUCGCAUCCGGCAGCACGUGAAUCCGCUCAGCGCCUUGUUCGUCGAGCCCACGGAGCCGCCUGAAUGGACGGAGGUGUUCGAGGAUCCCCUGCUGCCCCUCAUGGUCGACAUCGGCUGCGGGAGUGGGAGAUUCUUGGUUUGGUUAGCAAAGAACUCCGGUGAAAGGCGGAAUUACCUCGGACUGGAAAUCCGGCAGAAGUUGGUCGAGCGGACACAGUUCUGGGUGACAGAAUUGGGGCUUAGAAAUGUUUACUUUAUGUUUGCAAAUGCAACGGUGUCUUUCGAGCAAAUUGUGUCAUCAUACCCUGGUCCCCUAUCACUUGUUUCAAUACUGUGUCCUGAUCCUCACUUUAAGAAAAGGCAUCACAAGCGAAGAGUUCUACAGACACCAUUGGUCGAUUCAAUCACAAAGAACCUUUGUCUGGGUGGGCGGGUGCUUGUACAAUCAGAUGUGCUUGAUGUGGCUACAGACAUGAGAGAAAGGUUUGAUGGAUACUCGGAUGUGUUUGAGCAUGCUGAUCGUAUUGAUAAAGAUCUUCAGUGCGACAAUGAAGGUUGGCUUCUGGACAACCCUAUGGGAAUACGGACGGAGAGGGAAAUCCAUGCUGAGCUCGAAGGAGCGACCAUAUACAGGAGGAUGUACCAAAAGACAAGAUGUUUCUUGCCAGAUUACUCCAUCAGUUAA
rnacentral:rRNA from 1 species